UACAGGGGGGGCAAGCGUUGUUCGGAAUUACUGGGCGUAAAGGGCUCGUAGGCGGCCAACUAAGUCCGACGUGAAAUCCCAAAGCUUAACUUUGGAACUGCGUCGGAUACUGGAUGGCUUGAAUUCGGGAGAGGGAUGCAGAAUUCCAGGUGUAGCGGUGAAAUGCGUAGAUAUCUGGAGGAAUACCGGUGGCGAAGGCGGCAUCCUGGACCGACAUUGACGCUGAGGAGCGAAAGCGUGGGGAGCAAACAGG
rnacentral:rRNA from 1 species